ensembl:lncRNA
AACAGGCCCCACAUCCUGUGUGGGGUUUUGAAGGGUUUAACUGCACUUGCUUUGGGUUUUCUGGUUCACCCCUUUCCUUUGUCGACAUUUGGGAUCAGCGAGUUCAUCCCAAGGCUCCCUUUUCUCCCAUCNNNNNNNNNNCCCAUCCUUUAUGAACAUUUGGGAUCAGCGAGUUCAUCCUGAGGCUCCCUUUUCUCCAAUCCUUUAUGAACAUUUGGGAUCAGUGAAUUCAUCCUGAGGCUCCCUUUUCCCCCCAUCCUUUAUGAACAUUUGGGAUCAGCGAGUUCAUCCUGAGGCUCCCUUUCCCCCCAUCCUUUAUGAACAUUUGGGAUCAGCGAGUUCAUCCCAAGGCUCCCUUUUCNNNNNNNNNNGGCAGGGCGGGGUGGCCGUGCCAGGCAGCCCCUGGAGCGCCAUUCCCAGCGGGAAUGCCGGGGAAUAGGGGGGAGGAGAGCCUGGAGGCGCCGGGAGGGGAUGAAUUGGGUGGGCAGCGGGUUUGGGGUGCCGGGAGGUGACAGACGGACAAACGGACAUGCCGGGAGGUGACAGCGGCCCCGGCGUGGCAGCAAAGCGGAUCCCGCAGCUCGUGGAGCUGGGGCGGCCCUCGGGCAGGAUGUUUCCCUCGCCGGGCUGCAGGAGGGGCUUUUCCAGGGAGCCCGCCCCGUGGUGGGAUGGGCCGCGGCCGUGUCCUCCUGCUGGCCCCGAGGACGCCUGGAACGAGCCACCCUGGGAAGAGCCACCCUGGGAAGGGCCACCUCGGAAUGGGCCACCUCGGAAUGGGCCACCUCGGAAUGGGCCACCCUGGGACGGGCCACCCAGGGAUGGGCCACCUCAGAAUGGGCCACCCUGGGACGGGCCACCCUGGAAUGGGCCAUCCUGGGACGGGCCACCCAGGGAUGGGCCAUCCUGGGACGGGCCACCCUGGAAUGGGCCACCCAGGGAUGGGCCACCCAGGGAUGGGCCACCCUGGGAUGGGCCACCUCGGAAUGGGCCACCCUGGGAGCACCAGCACAGGAGCCACCGGCACAGGAGGAGCCCGCCCUGUCCCAGAGCCCCCAGACCCUUCCCUGGCCCUGGCGACGUCCCGUGGAAGGAGGAGGAGGGGGACAGGAGGUGGGCACCCCACGACUGCCCCCCGCCACCCCCUUGGGAUGGCAGAGAAGCCGUCCCACGACCUGAGGACGGCUUUGGAGAAAUCUGGUACCAGGAUGUGCUGCCGGACCCCUGGCCCGAAUUCCCCGAGGAGGAGCAGCCCCCGCCCGGCCCUCCAGGGAAUCCAGGGACUUUCGGGGACCACCGCCCGCCCUGGAGGCAUCGCCCGGCCGGGAGGCGACCCAGCCACCUCCAGCAGCCGGUCCUGGUCCCCCGGGCGUGGUGUCCCCGGCCGCCCCGAGGGCACAAGGCUCGCUCCAAGCCCUCCUCCCCUGCCCACUUCAAGCGGAGCCAGCCGGCGGCCAGGAAGGAGCUGCAGCCCCCGGAGCCUCCCCAGCCUCCUGCUCCUCUCCCAGACGCUGGGGAAAGGCCGGAGCAGCCGCAGGAUGUGCCAGCAGCGGCUGGGAAUGUCCUGGAGCCCCCCAGUCCUGCCAGGAGCCCUCAGGAGAGCCCCGGGUCACCGGUAGGAGAUUCCCUGGUCCCAGGGGUGCUCCCAGCUCUGGAGCUGCCUGGCUCAGGGGCGUCCUUGGCUGCUGUGACAUCUCCCUCCUCUCUCAUCCAGC